rnacentral:other from 1 species
GGAACCCGACCGUGUUCGCGACCGGCGCGACGCCUGAGCCAACGUUUCAACUACGGGAAUCGAUGUCAGGUCACCGCUCGGUGACGUGCCGUGACCGCUCGAAUCCCACCUGCUUCGGCAGGUUCAGAGCUCCAUCCGGAGCGGCACGGUGGGGGACCA